UGGGGAAUAUUGGACAAUGGGCGAAAGCCUGAUCCAGCCAUGCCGCGUGUGUGAAGAAGGUCUUCGGAUUGUAAAGCACUUUAAGUUGGGAGGAAGGGCAGUAAGCGAAUACCUUGCUGUUUUGACGUUACCGACAGAAUAAGCACCGGCUAACUCUGUGCCAGCAGCCGCGGUAAUACAGAGGGUGCAAGCGUUAAUCGGAAUUACUGGUCGUAAAGCGCGCGUAGGUGGUUCGUUAAGUUGAAUGUGAAAGCCCCGGGCUCAACCUGGGAACUGCAUCCAAAACUGGCGAGAUAGAGUAGGGCAGAGAGUGGUGGAAUUUCCUGUGUAGCGGUGAAAUGCGUAGAUAUAGGAAGGAACACCAGUGGCGAAGGCGACCACCUGGGAUCAUACUGACACUGAGGUGCGAAAGCGUGGGGAGCAAACAGG
rnacentral:rRNA from 1 species